rnacentral:rRNA from 1 species
CCCUUAGAUGUUCUGGGCCGCACGCGCGCUACACUGACGAAGUCAGCGAGCAUGUCCUACGCCGACAGGUGCGGGGAAUCUUGUCAAACUUCGUCGUGAUGGGGAUUGAUUAUUGAAAUUCUUGAUCAUCAACGAGGAAUUCCUAGUAAGCGCAAGUCAGCAGCUUGCGUUGAUUACGUCCCUGCCCUUUGUACACACCGCCCGUCGCUACUACCGAUUGAAUGGUUUAGUGAGAUCUUCGGAUUGGCGCCACUGCGGCUCAGCAAUGGGCUCGGUGGAUGCCGAAAAGUAGAUCAAACUUGAUCAUUUAGAGGAAGUAAAAGUCGUAACA